GACGAACGCUGGCGGCGUGCCUAAUACAUGCAAGUAGAACGCUGAAGGAGGAGCUUGCUUCUCUGGAUGAGUUGCGAACGGGUGAGUAACGCGUAGGUAACCUGCCUGGUAGCGGGGGAUAACUAUUGGAAACGAUAGCUAAUACCGCAUAAGAGUAGAUGUCGCAUGACAUUUGCUUAAAAGGUGCAAUUGCAUCACUACCAGAUGGACCUGCGUUGUAUUAGCUAGUUGGUGAGGUAACGGCUCACCAAGGCAACGAUACAUAGCCGACCUGAGAGGGUGAUCGGCCACACUGGGACUGAGACACGGCCCAGACUCCUACGGGAGGCAGCAGUAGGGAAUCUUCGGCAAUGGACGGAAGUCUGACCGAGCAACGCCGCGUGAGUGAAGAAGGUUUUCGGAUCGUAAAGCUCUGUUGUAAGAGAAGAACGAGUGUGAGAGUGGAAAGUUCACACUGUGACGGUAUCUUACCAGAAAGAGACGGCUAACCACGUG
rnacentral:rRNA from 1 species